AGCAAAUUUCUUUUCCUUUUGACGAAGGCAGGCAUCAUGACCUCUUCUAUCCAUAACUAAGUUCUACUUCUACCUCAUAUUGAGAAUGUCCGCUAUAUAAAUUGGGGUUUGAGGGAGGAGAUAGAUAUUCAAGAAACAUAUCAUAUCAUUAGCUCGUUUGUUUUGCAGCUUAAAAUCUUAAAAAGAGUCUUGAGAAAGGUGGCGGAGAUAUGUGGAGAAGAAAGAAGAGAAAGAAGACACUGAAAAUGACUUGUUUAUACGUGGAUGCAAUUGCCCUUUGAUCAUCAUUUCAUGGAUGCCAAAGGGUACACAGGCAAGUCAUAUAGGCAAAGGGAAGGCCACGCCUUUCUUCCAGGUUUUUUUUUUUUUUUUUCCUUUUUUUGCUUUUUUGUGGGGGAUGCGUUUCUUUCUUUUGGAUUUUCAACUAAUUAAUGUACCUGAUGUUAUUUGACCAGAGCUGUACAUGCAUAAUGGUCCUUUAACCAAUGAAUUCUCCAAUGAAGUGAAUUUCUUUCGUGUAUAUAGCAGCUGAACUAGUUUUUCACUUCCGGUAAGACCGACCACCCCAGAUGAGGU
rnacentral:lncRNA from 1 species